ACAGAAACAUCAUCUGGCACCUCUGGGGAAUUCCAAGCUUGCCAAUGGGGAGACGGAAAAAUAAUGCCCUCAGAUUGGGUCAUUGAUGGCUCCCCCGAGGGUAAUUAGCCACCUUGAUCAAUGAGAACCGAAAGGGAACUGCAGCCCCUCUUGUGCACCCAAGUCAGGAGGCUCAGUCCACAGACGUUUUCGCCAAGGACUUGGGACCUGCUGGCUGUGACAGGGGCUCUGUGUGCAACCGUGAGACGUGGCAGCCUAGAGGGAGCCUUUUGGGAUCAAGAGAGAUGAGUGAGAUACUCAUUACAAAUUUACCGCUGUAACCAGGUUUAAGUGCACAGCUCAGGAGCAUCAAGCAUAUUCACAUUGUUGUGCAACCGUCAUCAUCUCCAGAAUUUCCAGAAUUUUCUCAUCUUCCCAAAUCGAAACUCUGUCCCCAUUAAACACGGCUGUCCGUCCUCCUCCCCAGCCCUUGUGCCCCCACCAUCUGCUUUCUGACGACUCUAGGGCCGCGUGUAAGUGGAGCCAACCAUAUUUUCCCUUCUGCAUCUGGCUUCUCUCCGUGAGCGUCUCGUCCUUAUCAUUCACCUACGUCGCAGCAGGUGUCAGGACUCCUCCCUUGCUGAGGCUGAACAACUUGGGAAUCAUUGCUCAGACUCUUUCCCACGUGGCUCUCUCGCGACCCAAGGUGGGGGCCUGCUGGCUCCCCUUCUCCUUUACCCCCUGUACGCCCAGCUGGUGCUGGGUCAGGGGCCCCCCUCCCAGACACUGCAGAAUUCAACUCAGAAUUCCCAUUCCUGGGCCCCAAACAGGGGUGAGGCUCACUGCAAGGGAUGAUGAAACAACAAGCGACUCUUAUGUGUCGCUCAGCUGCUCUGAGGGCUUUGCAGUUACACCCGCUGCUCCUCUCAGCACCCGCGUCCCAGGGCGGACGUGCUGCAGGGCCCCUCCCUCACUGGGAGGCUCGGAGGCCAGGAGGCCUGGCCUUUCUCCCGAACUUUCCCUGGGGCACCCAGGCGACGCCCUCCUGGCCACAGGCACCCCAGGUAACCGACUGGGCCCUGGGCACUCACCUUUGUUCUGGGAACACGUUGCCAUUUUCACCGGCAGCCUUUGAGGCCUUGCUCGACAGGACUAAUGGGGAGGGUGGCGGGCAUGGGGCCCACAGAUGGGGCGAUCGCUGGGGACCGAAGCCCUUUCAGGCGGCCCUGUACUGCCGGGCGAUGCGCCCAUGCCUCUCUGGCCCCUGCCCGACGUCCUGCCUGACUCCCGUCCCUCUCUUAGGCUCCUCCCGGCUCUGCCGCCACCCACAGGCAGGAGGGCUCCAGCCCCCGAGCCCUCCCCACCCCGGCCCAGGCGGCCACCCCCGCACACUUUCUCUGGGGGAGAAGCAUCCCCCGGGCGCCCCUGGAGGAAACCCUCUGGUGGGGCUGCCUUGCUAGGCCCGAGGCUGCGGCUGGCUACGCAUUUGUGCCAAUGAGAUGAGUCUGCCGUCUGGCGAGACAGAGGCACCAUUCAGGGCCGAGGGACCAUUCUUUCCCAGAGAGCGGGGCUGGGAGGGGCCCGGCCCCGAGGCCCCAGGUUCCCAGAGAGAGGCCUGCAGGUGGGGAGAAGAGGCGGCCGCAGGCAGGGCGGAAGGGCUUCUCAGGAUUCCUGCCCUGCUCCGGGCCGCUCCCCGGGGUCGGCACGAGCCGACAGCAAGGCCUGCUUCCCCCCACUUCAUCCAGGGCCGCCCUGUGACCUGGGACAUCAUGGUCUCUGCGAGUCUGAGUGAGCCUGGGGGGCGGCGCGGGGGACCAGUCCUGACCGCCCAGCGGGCCAGCCUCCCAAAUGUCCCCUCCAGGUGAUUGCCUAACAGAAACCUACAGUUCACUUCAAUUUACUGCUUAAUCCCCCCGGCUCCUUCUGUCAGGGGCCAAGUCCCGCGUGGGUCUCGGGUUUCUGCCCAUUUUGUGAACGGGGACACUGGCUGCCUUUGCUUCCGACCGGCCGUCUUUUCACGGUGCUUGAACAGCGCCAGCCUUGGUGACACAGAAGGACUUGCUGGGCACAAAGGUCAGCUGGCGCCACCCUGGUGCCCCGUGAGCCUGCAGGAGGGUGAAGCCUCACGCUUGUCCCAGGUCUGGUCACCUGGGUUAAGCACUGUCCUUUUGUUCUAAAACGCGGGCGUGUCCAGGGGAGAAGUCUCAACAAACAAAAAGCACUUUCUCCUAAGAAGGCCCUUAACAAAAACAAGGACAGUGUGGUCCCCCGAAGGUUCCAGAUGGACCAGCUGCCAGGACAGCAGGAGGGGCAGGGGAGCUCAGGGACACCCAGAGGAAGGACCAGCCCCGGGACAUCCCUGUCCCUGAGCAGCCUGUAGAGCAGAGCCUCUGAGAGUGUGUCUCAGGGAAAUUACAUCCACUUUUCACAGCUUCUGUGGGAAGCUGGGUCUUUAGUGAGCACUUUAUUUUCUCUUUGUCAGCCCUGCCUGAGCCCGCUGCCUCAGCAGGACCGGUUGGUGGCCCCAAAGCCAGGGACACCACACGAGUCCUGGCCAAAGCCAGCCUGCAGGGCACCGAGGCCCCAGUACCAGGCCGGGCAGGGCCUCGUGGGCCUGAAGUCCCUGGUGGACCCGGCGGCAUCCCCCCAGCCCCUGCGCUCUCAAAGCCCCUUGGCGACGGGCGUGGCUCGUCCUGGGUCUGGCGGCAGUGUUCUGCUGCUCCUGGUCUGGCCAGUGGUCAAACCUCCAGGGUCUGACACCCCGAUUGAUAAAAGGGGUGUGCGCGCCAUGACGUGCGUCUGUAAAAUCUACGCUGCAUGAAGCCCCAACAAGCUUGGAGCAGACGGGCGUUCCUUGCUGACAACUUCAAAUCCUAAGCUAAAGCGUUGUCCCCAAUUAAGAGUUAACGUGCUAAUAAGUAGCCAAGUUUGUUUUUUUUUUAAGUCGAUCUAUAUGUGAAAUAUCAAUAAAGCCUACAUUUUAAAUAUUUUUUUAAAAAGUUAAAUCUAAAUAGAACCUCUCU